UCUUAGCCGAGCCGGACUCAGAGCAAAGUGUGAGUGUAUUGAAAGUAGAAUCAAGUCAAGUCCCAAUGACAACAAGGCAAAAGCAAGGAAGAGUGAGAGCUUGGAGCCGCAGAAUUUGCGAUUGAUGGGCCCGAUGAUUAUAAAAGGACUCUUCAGAAGAUAUGAAAGAUGGAACCCAGUGCAUCCGACGUGCGGUGCCUUUUGGGGUAUGGGAAUAGGCAUUGGAUGUGGUGUCGGAUGGGGUCCUGGGUUUGGCCCUGAGGUCAUCGGUUAUGUCGGAGCUGGCUGCGGGAUUGGAUUUAGUGUGGGCAUAACGCUUGCUGGUAUUGGCAUUGGUCUUCCUGCAAAUUUCCUCUUUCAAGUUCCUUACAGCGCUUUUCUAGCAACCACAACUGGGGCACUGGAUCUUGCCCGAUCCAGCGGUCUUUCCUCUUCCAAAAUUACACCUGGUCUUGGCUGGAAGACUUUUGCACCUCACGUCUCUGUCCUUCAAAGAGAAGCCACUGGAAGAUUGUCAAGCAUGUUGCGUCCCCACACUAGUUCUAUUUGGGCUGGUUUUGAAAGAUUUUACGGUCGGUUUUUCCACCCUCGCAAAGUACCUUCACAGGCACAGGUAACAAAUAAUAUCAUCAGAAAACUCAUGAUGAAGAGUGACUAGUUCCAAUAGAAUGCAUCGUCAGUAGAUAGUGCAGUUGGAGCAUGUAUGAAGGGCCAUUCUACUUCAAAUGGAGAACCUUCAGGGCAAUUCAUACACACACUGCUUUCUCAUAGGAAAUCAACAGACCCAUGAGCUAUGCACAAAGGCAAUAUAUAGGUUUAAAAGAUUAACUGCUAUAUAACCAAUUGCAAAUAUGACUAAACGGUACCAUGGCACAGUGCAUUUUCCCCGUGGGAUAGCAUCUGCUACAUGAAGGAAGACCAAGUUUGUAAUGUACUAGCAAUUGUUGCCGGAGAUAAAUGACGUUGGCUAAAGAUUUUUUGUUAUCUUUUUGGCUUUAUAUUAAUGUGUUUUAUCCCCUAGCAAUCCCUUAAUCAUGUUUGCAAUUCUUUA